rnacentral:lncRNA from 1 species
CUACCUUAAAACUGCAGGCUUGGGGCUGGGGUAGUUUUGAGGGAAGGGGGAGAAAACCAGUUUGAUCCCUUUGGGAGAUUACUAUACUUUUAUAACUCAAGCAGAUGCUUGGAAUGCAAACCAUGUGCGAUGUGAAUGGUCUGAGAGCCAGUGACCAAGUCUGUGCUCACUGAGCUCUUUUACCUCUCGGACAGGACUUGAGUUGGGGAACUUGAUAUUGUACAAAUGAUCUGUUGGCCAGUGUUUCAUUCAUGCUGCCCACUGUAUCCUUGUAAUGUGAUCUGGGCCACGGCAGAUGGUAUGGGAUAGAAGAAGGACAUGCAGAGAGAGCCCUCUGAAAUGAACACUACCCACCGGUGGGUGUGGCAGAGCAUUGUCUGUACAUGAGAGUCUGAAUGUCGUUCUCGCCUUCUCACCUUUACCAGGUUACUCCCUCCCUCUGAGGGUCAUCUGUGAGUGGAAAACACAGUUCUGUACCUAGAAGCCUGAGAGUGUCUGGGGCUACAAGGGUUAACAAGCAUAAUUGCAAAGAUUGUCCGAAGGCUGAUGGAAAGCAGAGACUGAAUGGGAUUGAGAACAGAUGCGAGGCUUGAUUUAAAUUACAUUUUAUUGGAUGCUGCAGCCUUAAGAGACGUGACUGCUUUACAGUUUGUUUCCACACUGUGGGCAGCUGCUGUCUGUUCUGUGUCCACAGUAGGAUCCUGCCCAAAAAGGAGCGGCCUCCCCACCUCGUUGUGUUUGAGGCUUGGCGCCUUUCUCUUAACUGUAGGGCUUGAGUCAGGAACAUGGCUUGACUCGCAGUGGGGCUGCUAUGUAUCCUCCAUGGCUCUGAGCCAAGAUUGCAUUUGCAGAUUCAAAAGGGCGAAAUUUCUUUCCCCUCUACCUCUUUUCUCUCCCUUUCCCCUGGUAUUUGGAAAUAGGGUUUUUUGUGUACUGGUUUGUUAGUUUCCUUUCCUUCAGUUCUCCCCCCACUGUCAAUUUCUAGGUCAUUGCUGCUCUUAAGACUUCAGCAAUUGGAACAGGGUUGGUUCUGUCAAUGAUGCGUGAAGCAGACUUAGAGUCCCUGCUUGGCUUCCACUGCCCUUGUGGGAGCAAAAGCUGAUGUAUGUUUGUCAGUGAAGUCUUAAGUGUAAUUCAGACAGCCAGAGAGCAGACUGAGAGGAGGAAGAAAGUGCUUUUCUUACUGGCGUUUCUCACUGAAGCUGAGAGCUAUGGGAAGGUAGUGGGAUUUUUAGAGGGAUGGGCCGGACUUGUGGUUACUAGUUUUUGCCAGGAUUGUAGCCUGUUUCACAUAGAGUAGUGGCAAAGAUGCUGACCUACAUUCUUCCUCUUGAAGGUGGUGGGGUGUGUGUCUAUAUCCUGAUUUAUAUUUCUUCACAGAAGCAGAUUAAGCUUCCGUAGAGUGUUGAUGGGUAUUGCCAUGGAAAGAACAUAGACACAAUAAAAUUGGUGUGUUUCAACCCCA